rnacentral:rRNA from 1 species
UACGUAGGGGGCAAGCGUUGUCCGGAUUUAUUGGGCGUAAAGAGCGUGUAGGCGGCUUCACAGGUCCGCUGUGAAAACUCGAGGCUCAACCUCGAGCUGUCGGUGGAAACCGUGUGGCUAGAGUCCGGAAGAGGAGAGUGGAAUUCCCGGUGUAGCGGUGAAAUGCGCAGAUAUCGGGAAGAACAUCGGUGGCGAAAGCGCUCUACUGGACGGUAUCUGACACUGAGGGACGAAAGCUAGGGGAGCGAAUGGG